AGUGGCGAACGGGUGAGUAAAGUAUCGGAACGUGCCCAGUCGGGGGGGAUAACGUAGCGAAAGUUACGCUAAUACCGCAUACGAUCUAUGGAUGAAAGCGGGGGAUCGCAAGACCUCGCGCGAUUGGAGCGGCCGAUAUCAGAUUAGGUAGUUGGGGGGGUAAAGGCUCACCAAGCCGACGAUCUGUAGCUGGUCUGAGAGGACGACCACCCACACUGGGACUGAGACACGGCCCACACUCCUACGGGAGGCAGCAGUGGGGUAUUUUUGGACAAUGGGCGCAAGCCUGAUCCAGCCAUGCCGCGUGCAGGAUGAAGGCCUUCGGGUUGUAAACUUCUUUUGUACGGAACGAAAAGGUUUGGCCUAAUAAGCUGAGCUCAUGACGGUACCGUAAGAAUAAGCACCGGCUAACUACGUGCCAGCAGCCGCGGUAAUACGUAGGGGGGCGAGCGUUAAUCGGAAUUACUGGGCGUAAGCGUGCGCAGGCGGUUAUGUAAGACAGAUGUGAAAUCCCCCGGGCUCAACCUGGGAACUGCAUUAGUGACUGCAUAGCUGGAGUACGGCAGAAGAGGGGGAAGGAAUUCCGGCGUGGUAGCCGUUGAAAUGCGUAAAAUUAUGCCGGAGGACCCCCGAAUGGGCGAAGGCCAUUCCCCUUGGGGCUUGUACUGACGCUCAUGCACGAAAGGCGGUGGG
rnacentral:rRNA from 1 species